rnacentral:rRNA from 1 species
CCUACGGGGAGCAGCAGUGGGGAAUAUUGGACAAUGGGGGGAACCCUGAUCCAGCGACGCCGCGUGAGUGAAGAAGUAUUUCGGUAUGUAAAGCUCUAUCAGCAGGGAAGAAAGAAAUGACGGUACCUGACUAAGAAGCCCCGGCUAACUACGUGCCAGCAGCCGCGGUAAUACGUAGGGGGCAAGCGUUAUCCGGAUUUACUGGGUGUAAAGGGAGCGUAGACGGCAGUGCAAGUCUGGAGUGAAAGGCGGGGGCUCAACCCCCGGACUGCUCUGGAAACUGUACGGCUGGAGUGCAGGAGAGGUAAGUGGAAUUCCUAGUGUAGCGGUGAAAUGCGUAGAUAUUAGGAGGAACACCAGUGGCGAAGGCGGCUUACUGGACUGUAACUGACGUUGAGGCUCGAAAGCGUGGGGAGCAAACAGGAUUAGAUACCCUAGUAGUC